rnacentral:rRNA from 1 species
CUAUAUUUUAAAGUGUAAAAAUUGAUUUUAUUUACCUAAGUAUUAUGAAGAUAAAUAUUGUUUAUUAUCAAUUUUUAUUUAAAACUUAAAAAGUUUGGCGGUUUUACAUAUCCAGUUAGGGGAGUCUGUUAAUAUAAUUUGAUAAUCCACAUUUUAAACUAAUUUUUUUUUGAUAUUAUAAUUAUUUUUAUAUAAUUUAUAACAGUUUAUAUAUUGCUGUCGUCAGUUUAUAUUUUAAGAAUUAAAGAACUAGUGAAUAUUUUAUAUUGUUAUGUCAAGUCAUAAUGUAGCUGAUGAAAAAGGUUUAAUGGACUACUUUAAUUGAUUUUAUUUGUUAAUCCGGAUAAUGAAGAUUAUAUUUUAUUAGUAAGGUGGACUUAAUAGUAAAUUAAUGAUUAGUAUGCAUUGUUGAAUAUUGGUUUUGUAAAAUGU